CAUAAAUAAUUAACAAUUUAUUAACGUAGAAUAAUUAGCUUAAAUUGUUGUUUCUUUGUAUUUUCAGGUAGUAUAAUUUUAAGUUUGUAAAUAUUGUAAAAUUAAUAAACUUUGUAUUUUCAGAGCAACAUCAAUUUAGUUU
rnacentral:lncRNA from 1 species